rnacentral:rRNA from 1 species
AGUGAACGCUGACGGUAGGCCUAACACAUGCAAGUCGAACGGCAGCACAGUAAGAGCUUGCUCUUACGGGUGGCGAGUGGCGGACGGGUGAGGAAUACAUCGGAAUCUACUUUUUCGUGGGGGAUAACGUAGGGAAACUUACGCUAAUACCGCAUACGACCUACGGGUGAAAGCAGUGGAUCUUCGGACCUUGCGCGAUUGAAUGAGCCGAUGUCGGAUUAGCUAGUUGGCGGGGUAAAGGCCCACCAAGGCGACGAUCCGUAGCUGGUCUGAGAGGAUGAUCAGCCACACUGGAACUGAGACACGGUCCAGACUCCUACGGGAGGCAGCAGUGGGGAAUAUUGGACAAUGGGCGCAAGCCUGAUCCAGCCAUACCGCGUGGGUGAAGAAGGCCUUCGGGUUGUAAAGCCCUUUUGUUGGGAAAGAAAAGCAGCAGGUUAAUACCCCGCUGUUCUGACGGUACCCAAAGAAUAAGCACCGGCUAACUUCGUG